UACACUGUUGAAUGACCUCCCUAACUCAACCCAAUUUUCUUCCAUCCGUUUCUCUCUCUUCCAUCCGUUUCUCUCUCCUCCUCCAAAUUCUCUCUAUUGCUUCUCUCUUCUGGGAACGCUAUUGGAAAAUUUUGCUCCCCUCUGUUCUCUCACAUCUUCAAUCGAAGCUUCAGAUCAAAAUUCAAUUCAUCAAUGGCGUUUUCGAAUAAUUUGAAAGUUUUAUCUCUCUCCUUCUACAUUUUCUCUUUCACAAACCUCAAAUUAGGGUAAAAUUAACGCAUGAAUGACCUCCUCAUUUCGCGAUUCACUCUCACAACCCUUUCUCUCUCUUCCUUCGAUUUUCUCUCACCUCUGCAAAUCCUCUAUGGCUUCUCUCAUCUUCGCCCAGAUCAUCACAACCUUUUGCAUAUCAACCUUUAAUCUUCUCCCUUCAUCAACAGUCUUGUUUGCGGACAUAGUUUCAAUUGAUCAGAAGCAACUUUUGUUCUAAUCAGCUAGGCAUCCAUGUUCUAGUCUCAUGGUUAUUGAGGUUUGUUAUGUAGAAUGUUUCAUUACUGUAACCAAAAGAUUGCAGUUGUAAAUGUCCUCAAACAAGCAAAAAUUUAGCAACAAAGCACAACAAAACAAACCAAAGACACAGUGGACCGAGGUCACUAUGGCACAACUGACUACUCACAAUAGCCAAACCUAUUGACCUAAACUCCGAGCUGGGAACUGCAGAAACAACAACCCCUACCUGAUUAACAACCCGCAACAAUAGCAGAUCAAUCACAUCAUCCUAAACCGACUGCAAACUUGCGCCUAACCCUGCAGUCAAACCCAGCCGAAAUCACAGCAACAUCAUCUAAGUCUACAUAACUCUCAGUUAACUGUAAGCAGGAGCUCCAGCAAGCCCUUGUAACAACACGCUAUAGAAGAAUCAACAAAACCACGAAGCUUGGAUAAUCUUGUAGCAAGAUGAAAGUCAACUACUGGAGCUUUUAUUUGAUUGCACAUAUACUUUUGAGAUUUUGAGAUUAGGUUCGAGUUUUCUAAUUUACCUUGAAGUUGAUAAUAUUUACUUUUGAGUUAAUAUUGUACAUGUAUUCCUUUCUUAAAAGGAAAUGGCCCAGAGUUUAUUUCUAAGCUCAUUUAUCUCUUUUGACCAUUAGAUUAUACAUAAUGCUUUUGAAAUUUUCUGAUUUACUUUUAAGUUAAUAUUAUUUACUUUUUGGGGUUUUCUA